rnacentral:rRNA from 1 species
UACGUAGGGUGCGAGCGUUAAUCGGAAUUACUGGGCGUAAAGCGUGCGCAGGCGGUUAUAUAAGACAGAUGUGAAAUCCCCGGGCUCAACCUUGGACCUGCAUUUGUGAAUGUAUAGAUAGAGAACGGGAGAGGGGGAUGGAAUUCCGCGUGUAGCAGUGAAAUGCGUAGAUAUGCGGAGGAACAUCGAUGGCGAAGGCAAUCCCCUGGACCUGUACUGACGCUCAUGCACGAAAGCGUGGGGAGCAAACAGGAUUAGAUACCCUGGUAGUCCACGCCCUAAACGAUGUCAACUGGUUGUUGGGUCUUCACUGACUCAGUAACGAAGCUAACGCGUGAAGUUGACCGCCUGGGGAGUACGGCCGAAAGGUUG